rnacentral:lncRNA from 1 species
UUUCAUCCUGAAUAAUUCUAAUUAGUAUCUUUUUCCGAAUAGCAAAGUGAAAUGGGUCAGAUGAAUUCAGAGGUGGAGAAUGAGAAAAGCCUGAUGACUCAGCUUUGGAAGAUGGUUAAAGAGCUUCAGAUGAUCAUUUAUCAAAUACCAGUCAUAUACAGAAUUUGAAAGAGGAACUGGAAGAUGAGAACUCAAGUCAAGAUGGAAAGAGAGAGAGCACCAAAAUUCAACAUAUGAAUUU